rnacentral:rRNA from 1 species
UAGGGAAUCUUCCGCAAUGGGCGAAAGCUUGACGGAGCAACGCCGCGUGAGUGAUGAAGGUCUUCGGAUCGUAAAACUCUGUUAUUAGGGAAGAACAAAUGCGUAAGUAACUAUGCACGUCUUGACGGUACCUAAUCAGAAAGCCACGGCUAACUACGUGCCAGCAGCUGCGGUAAUACGUAGGUGGCAAGCGUUAUCCGGAAUUAUUGGGCGUAAAGCGCGCGUAGGCGGUUUUUUAAGUCUGAUGUGAAAGCCCACGGCUCAACCGUGGAGGGUCAUUGGAAACUGGAAAACUUGAGUGCAGAAGAGGAAGGUGGAAUUCCAUGUGUAGCGGUGAAAUGCGCAGAGAUAUGGAGGAACACCAGUGGCGAAGGCGACUUUCUGGUCUGUAACUGACGCUGAUGUGCGAAAGCGUGGGGAUCAAACAGG